rnacentral:rRNA from 1 species
CCAGCAGCUGCGGUAAUUCCGGCUCCAAUAGCGUAUAUUAAAGUUGUUGCAGUUAAAACGCUCGUAGUCUGAUGUAAUGGGGACUGGUGUGGGGAGCAGCAAUGCUCUUUGCUUCGGUCCUCAUCAACGGGACAGCAAUGUCCCAUUUUACUUUGAGGAAAUUAGAGUGUUCAAAGCAGGCGAUUGCUUGAAUACUGCAGCAUGGAAUAAUGGAAUAGGACUCGCGUCUUAUUUUGUUGGUUUGGAGAUGUGAGUAAUGAUGAAUAGGGGCAGUUGGGGGCAUUGGUAUUUGGUAGUCAGAGGUGAAAUUCUUGGAUUUACCAAAGACUAACUGGUGCGAAAGCGUUUGCCAAGGAUGUUUUCAUUGAUCAAGAACGAAAGU